ensembl:lncRNA
UAUGAAUAUUUAUUCAUAAUUUCUUCUACUUUUUCUAAGCCCUUGAAUAUAGGUAAUUAUUUGUGUGGAUAAUUAUUAGUCCAACUAGACAUGAUUUCGUUAAGGGUAUGAGCUUUCAUAUUCUGUAAACCAGUGUGUCCAGAGUUCCAAGCAGUUUUCUCCAUGAAGGGUUGGAUUCUACAACCCAUGCAGCUACCCAGACCUUCUCAAGUACCAAUAUGCUAAGAGCAAUCCAUCAACUCUACUCAACAAGCAGAACCUCAAACCCGCAUAGCAAGUACUGCAGAUUGAACCCAGGGCCUCUCACAUGGUCCCUCUUCAAAAGAUAUCCAGCCGAUGAGCACCUGAAACAGGAUGAGUUGAGUAGC